CCGAGCCAGCCAGGAAGGAAGAGGCAGCCAGAGUGGCCACCACUGGCCUCUGCAGCAGAAGACCCCUUGCUGCCAGUGUCUCAGUCUAUCUCUGUUUGCUGUUGGAGCAACUUAUACGAAAACCAUCGCUUCAAAAAAUUGGUAUCCAAAAUGCUAAAGCCGUUCACCAUGCUCAGAGUGCUCAACAAGAAAGAAAAUUGUGUCACUGAAGGAAGUUUCAUCAAGCUACUGUCCAAUCAGAUCAAUCACCAAUCAGAAAGGGAUGAAAAAAUAUUUCAGGGCAAGAUAUGUACUGUAUUUCCUGGGAAUACAGAGAAGAUUGUAGCGGCCCGUCUUCCAGCUUGCAUUGCAGUUUCAGGAUGGCACCAAUUAAUCAAUCAAGGAGUAAAGAACAAGAAGAUAAACAGUAGUCAGAAGGGAAGCCAGCAGUCAGAAACUGAUAGUUAUUGAAGGGGCCAGAAGCAAGCAAGCAAGAAGUCAGAACAGCAGUCAGGAAUAAAUUCUGUGGAGUCAAGCCAAUAAUGACCUAACAAACAUGCCAGAGACAAGAGAAUCUGAAAACUGAUGGUAAAAGCCAGACCUAGUGCAUUAUGGUACUGUAAAAAAAAUAGCAGAAGGAGCUUUGCUGGAAUAAUCUUCAAGACGAAAUGUAGUGUUCGUCUCAAGCUGUGCUCAUCACUGCUACUGCGAAGACUGCUGCCAGCUGCGGAAAACAGAGCCUGCUGCUAGAGGAUGUACAUUAUUCACAGGAGCAGCCUCUCAGCACUGAUUAUCACUGAAGAGUUCCCUGCUCUCCAUCACUGUGUACAUACAGUACAGGCUGCUGGACCGCAAGACACCCGGAGAUGAUGGUUCAAGCUCUGAUGCCAGGGUGCUGGUGCAGGAGUGCAAAAAAUGUUCCCUGGGCUCAUCGGCGUCCUUCUGUGGCGGAAGUUUUGUUGUGAAAGGAAUUCUUCAGGGCAAGACAUAAUCUCCCCUCUGCACUCCUCCAGGUUAGGUACUCCAAAGUACCAUUGACUGAUACAACCUGCCCAUGUGAGGCAGAGGAGAUAGAAGCAAUCCCACACGUCUUGUUAUAUUGCCCCUUCUACAAGGACUCCCACACAAGAUAUAUCUCCCCUCUACUGCAGAGGCACCCGGACAGACUGGAGGGGUUUUAUACCAAGUCUUUGCUCUCUGAUACAGAUCAAACCAUAACCUUCACAGUGGCUAAAUUCUGUGUAGUAGAAGUGAAAAUAUGACAACA